AUAUGAAUUGUCCAUCAAAAGCCAAACUCUAUGAAUUAUCUCUGUCACAAUCCCUAAUGAUCAUAAACUUAAGUUUUUAAUAUUACUUAUACAUGCAUUAGUCACUUAUGUAAUAGUCUCAAGUAUAUAUUCAUAAUCUAAGCUCUGAUACCAUUCUGUCAUAGUCCCAAAUGAUCAUAAUCUUAAGCUUUGAUACUAUUCUGUCACACCU
rnacentral:lncRNA from 1 species